UAACGCGUGGGCNACCUGCCCUGUACAGGGGGAUAACACUUAGAAAUAGGUGCUAAUACCGCAUGAGCGCACAAAGGCGCAUGCCUAUGUGCGGGAAGCCCGCGAGGGCGGUACGGGAUGGGCCCGCGUCUGAUUAGCCAGUUGGCAGGGUAACGGCCUACCAAAGCGACGAUCAGUAGCCGGCCUGAGAGGGUGGACGGCCACAUUGGGACUGAGACACGGCCCAAACUCCUACGGGAGGCAGCAGUGGGGGAUAUUGCACAAUGGGGGAAACCCUGAUGCAGCGACGCCGCGUGAGUGAAGGAGCGUUUCGGCGCGUAAAGCUCUAUCAGCAGGGAAGACAAACUGCCCCGGAAGGGGCAGCCGGACGGUACCUGACCAAGAAGCCCCGGCUAACUACGUGCCAGCAGCCGCGGUAAUACGUAGGGGGCAAGCGUUAUCCGGAUUUACUGGGUGUAAAGGGAGCGUAGACGGCAAGACAAGCCUGGAGUGAAAGGCGGGGGCCCAACCCCCGGACUGCUCUGGGAACUGUCUGGCUGGAGUGCAGGAGGGGUAAGUGGAAUUCCUAGUGUAGCGGUGAAAUGCGUAGAUAUUAGGAGGAACACCAGUGGCGAAGGCGGCUUACUGGACUGUAACUGACGUUGAGGCUCGAAAGCGUGGGGAGCAAACAGGAUUAGAUACCCUGGUAGUCCACGC
rnacentral:rRNA from 1 species